rnacentral:rRNA from 1 species
AUACGGAGGAUGCAAGCGUUAUCCGGAUUUAUUGGGUUUAAAGGGUGCGCAGGCGGGCUGUUAAGUCAGCGGUGAAAUCUCCCGGCUCAACCGGGGAACUGCCGUUGAUACUGGCAGCCUAGAGUACAGACGGCGCCGGCGGAAUGUGUCAUGUAGCGGUGAAAUGCUUAGAUAUGCCACAGAACACCGAUCGCGAAGGCAGCUGGCGAGGCUGGGACUGACGCUCAGGCACGAAAGCGUGGGGAUCAAACAGGAUUAGAUACCCUGGUAGUCCACGCAGUAAACGAUGAGGACUUGUUGUCGGCGAUAGAAUGUCGGUGACAAAGCGAAAGCGAUAAGUCCUCCACCUGGGGAGUACGAUCGCAAGGUUGAAACUCAAAUGAAUUGACGGGG